GCCCAAAUGCAGCUGAGAUAGGCUCCAGCACCCCCCGCCACCCAGAAAGGGACAAACGCAGCGCACUUUCGACUUCUGGCAACAAAUGUGUGUUCCUACUUCCGGAUACAAAGAGGAUGGACUACUGCUUCUAGAAGCGAGCACGAAGGAAGAGUGAGACGUUGGAGCAGACGGAAGCCGAGAGAGUGAGGUGAAAGUGACUCGAAGACGCAAAAUGUGGAAUUUGAAGUCAUGCUGUUUUGACAUAAAUGGAGUGCUUACCCCAAAAACAUCCCCGGCCAGCUCGACCAAAAGCACAACUGUCUAUCGAGUGAGUCACACUUUAUAUUGAUCAUGAUACACGCAGCACGUCAUGCGUGUUAUUACAACUACAGUACAUACGCUGUCAAACUAGCUGUGUACAAACAAAACAUGAAGU